rnacentral:rRNA from 1 species
UACGAAGGGGGGCUAGCGUUGCUCGGAAUCACUGGGCGUAAAGGGUGCGUAGGCGGGUUUUUAAGUCAGGGGUGAAAUCCUGGAGCUCAACUCCAGAACUGCCUUUGAUACUGAAGAUCUUGAGUUCGGGAGAGGUGAGUGGAACUGCGAGUGUAGAGGUGAAAUUCGUAGAUAUUCGCAAGAACACCAGUGGCGAAGGCGGCUCACUGGCCCGAUACUGACGCUGAGGCACGAAAGCGUGGGGAGCAAACAGGG